UGCAGUCGAGGGGCAGCAUUUACUUCGGUAAGGUGGCGACCGGCGAACGGGUGCGUAACGCGUAUGCAACCUACCUUAUACAAAAGGAUAGCCCAUGGAAACGUGGAUUAAUACUUUAUGGUACUAUAAGACUUCCUGGUUUAAUAGUUAAAACUUCGGUGAUAUAAGAUGGGCAUGCGUAUGAUUAGGUAGUUGGUGAGGUAAAGGCUCACCAAGCCGACGAUCAUUAGGGGUUCUGAGAGGAUUAUCCCCCACACUGGUACUGAGACACGGACCAGACUCCUACGGGAGGCAGCAGUGAGGAAUAUUGGUCAAUGGACGCAAGUCUGAACCAGCCAUCCCGCGUGCAGGAUGACGGCCCUAUGGGUUGUAAACUGCUUUUGUUUGCCAAGAAUGGUUACUACGUGUAGUAAUUUGACGGUAGCGAAUGAAUAAGGACCGGCUAACUCCGUGCCAGCAGCCGCGGUAAUACGGAGGGUCCAAGCGUUAUCCGGAUUCAUUGGGUUUAAAGGGUGCGCAGGCGGACCUUUAAGUCAGUGGUGAAAUCUUGCCGCUUAACGGUAAAAUUGCCAUUGAUACUGAAGGUCUUGAAUAUGGUUGAGGUAGGCGGAAUGUGUUGUGUAGCAGUGAAAUGCAUAGAUAUGACACAGAACGCCGAUUGCGAAGGCAGCUUACUAAGCCAUUAUUGACGCUGAGGCACGAAAGC
rnacentral:rRNA from 1 species